CAAUAUGAAGGUCAGGCUGAAGACCUUACCCGAUUAGCUGAGAGGUGGUGCAUGGCCGUCGUCGGUUCGUACUGUGAAGCAUCCUGUUAAGUCAGGCAACGAGCGAGACCCACGUCCACAGUUGCCAGCAUACCCUCCGGGGUGAUGGGUACACUGUGGAGACCGCCGCUGCUAAAGCGGAGGAAGGAGUGGGCAACGGUAGGUCAGUAUGCCCCGAAUCUCCCGGGCUACACGCGGGCUACAAUGGUUGGUACAAUGGGCAUCUACCCCGAAAGGGGAAGGAAAUCUCUUAAAGCCAAUCGUAGUUCGGAUUGAGGGCUGCAACUCGCCCUCAUGAAGCUGGAAUCCGUAGUAAUCGCGUUUCAACAGAACGCGGUGAAUACGUCCCUGCUCCUU
rnacentral:rRNA from 1 species